AGUGAACGCUGGCGGUAGGCCUAACACAUGCAAGUCGAACGGCAGCACAGAGGAGCUUGCUCCUUGGGUGUCGAGUGGCGGACGGGUGAGGAAUACAUCGGAAUCUACUCUGUCGUGGGGGAUAACGUAGGGAAACUUACGCUAAUACCGCAUACGACCUACGGGUGAAAGCAGGGGAUCUUCGGACCUUGCGCGAUUGAAUGAGCCGAUGUCGGAUUGGCUAGUUGGCGGGGUAAAGGCCCACCAAGGCGACGAUCCGUAGCGGGUCUGAGAGGAUGAUCAGCCACACUGGAACUGAGACACGGUCCAGACUCCUACGGGAGGCAGCAGUGGGGAAUAUUGGACAAUGGGCGCAAGCCUGAUCCAGCCAUACCGCGUGGGUGAAGAAGGCCUUCGGGUUGUAAAGCCCUUUUGUUGGGAAAGAAAUCCAUCUGGUUAAUACCCGGGUGGGAUGACGGUACCCAAAGAAUAAGCACCGGCUAACUUCGUGCCAGCCGCCGCCGUAA
rnacentral:rRNA from 1 species